GUACACUCCUGCGGGAGGCAGCAGUGGGGAAUUUUGGACAAUGGGCGAAAGCCUGAUCCAGCCAUGCCGCGUGCAGGAUGAAGGCCUUCGGGUUGUAAACUGCUUUUGUACGGAACGAAACGGCCUUUUCUAAUAAAGAGGGCUAAUGACGGUACCGUAAGAAUAAGCACCGGCUAACUACGUGCCAGCAGCCGCGGUAAUACGUAGGGUGCAAGCGUUAAUCGGAAUUACUGGGCGUAAAGCGUGCGCAGGCGGUUAUGUAAGACAGUUGUGAAAUCCCCGGGCUCAACCUGGGAACUGCAUCUGUGACUGCAUAGCUAGAGUACGGUAGAGGGGGAUGGAAUUCCGCGUGUAGCAGUGAAAUGCGUAGAUAUGCGGAGGAACACCGAUGGCGAAGGCAAUCCCCUGGACCUGUACUGACGCUCAUGCACGAAAGCGUGGGGAGCAAACAGGAUUAGAAACCCUAGUAGUCCCAUG
rnacentral:rRNA from 1 species